rnacentral:rRNA from 1 species
CCUACGGGAGGCAGCAGUGAGGAAUAUUGGUCAAUGGACGAGAGUCUGAACCAGCCAAGUAGCGUGAAGGAUGACUGCCCUAUGGGUUGUAAACUUCUUUUAUAUGGGAAUAAAAUGUUCCACGUGUGGGAUUUUGUAUGUACCAUAUGAAUAAGGAUCGGCUAACUCCGUGCCAGCAGCCGCGGUAAUACGGAGGAUCCGAGCGUUAUCCGGAUUUAUUGGGUUUAAAGGGAGCGUAGGUGGAUUGUUAAGUCAGUUGUGAAAGUUUGCGGCUCAACUGUAAAAUUGCAGUUGAAACUGGCAGUCUUGAGUACAGUAGAGGUGGGCGGAAUUCGUGGUGUAGCGGUGAAAUGCUUAGAUAUCACGAAGAACUCCGAUUGCGAAGGCAGUUCACUGGACUGCAACUGACACUGAGGCUCGAAAGUGUGGGUAUCAAACAGGAUUAGAUACCCCUGUAGUC